rnacentral:misc_RNA from 1 species
AAGCGAGGAGGGCUGUGGAGGAAGGUGGUUCUUCCUACAAUGAAAUGAGCCGGAUGAUCCAAGAUUUGGUCGAAGCGAAGGCAGCUAGCGUGGGGUCUCAGACUUCUGCUGACAAAAAAAUGAUUGGAACCAGGGCAUAACAGGGUAAUUUGUUGCUUCUAAUAAUGUUUGUAUGCAAAAUCAUUCAAACAUUUAGAAAAAGGUCACAUUCGUUCUCUAAUAUAUGUUGUAAUGAUAAAAUGAGACAUAAAAUUCUUUGUAUCACUAUGCACAUUGAUCAGGUGAGUAAUUUUGCA